rnacentral:rRNA from 1 species
GAUGAACGCUGGCGGCGUGCCUAAUACAUGCAAGUCGAGCGAAUGGAUUAAGAGCUUGCUCUUAUGAAGUUAGCGGCGGACGGGUGAGUAACACGUGGGUAACCUGCCCAUAAGACUGGGAUAACUCCGGGAAACCGGGGCUAAUACCGGAUAACAUUUUGAACCGCAUGGUUCGAAAUGGAAAGGCGGCUUCGGCUGUCACUUAUGGCUGGACCCGCGUCGCAUUAGCUAGUUGGUGAGGUAACGGCUCACCAAGGCAACGAUGCGUAGCCGACCUGAGAGGGUGAUCGGCCACACUGGGACUGAGACACGGCCCAGACUCCUACGGGAGGCAGCAGUAGGGAAUCUUCCGCAAUGGACGAAAGUCUGACGGAGCAACGCCGCGUGAGUGAUGAAGGCUUUCGGGUCGUAAAACUCUGUUGUUAGGGAAGAACAAGUGCUAGUUGAAUAAGCUGGCACCUUGACGGUACCUAACCAGAAAGCCACGGCUAACUACGUGCCAGCCGCCGCUGUAA